rnacentral:rRNA from 1 species
AGAGUUUGAUCCUGGCUCAGGAUGAACGCUAGCGGCAGGCCUAAUACAUGCAAGUCGAACGGUGAUAGCAAUAUCAUAGUGGCGCACGGGUGCGUAACACGUAUGCAACCUACCUUAUACUGAGGGAUAGCCUUUCGAAAGGGAGAUUAAUACCUCAUAACACAUUGAACUGGCAUCAGUUUAUUGUUAAAGAUUUAUUGGUAUAAGAUGGGCAUGCGUCCAAUUAGUUAGUUGGCGAGGUAACGGCUCACCAAGACGAUGAUUGGUAGGGGAACUGAGAGGUUAAUCCCCCACACUGGCACUGAGAUACGGGCCAGACUCCUACGGGAGGCAGCAGUAGGGAAUAUUGGGCAAUGGAGGCAACUCCGACCCAGCCAUGCCGCGUGCAGGAAGAAGGCGUUAUGCGUUGUAAACUGCUUUUAUAUAGGAAGAAAUAGACCUUGCGAGGUAAGUUGACGGUACUAUAUGAAUAAGCACCGGCUAACUCCGUGCCAGCAGCCGCGGUAAUACGGAGGGUGCAAGCGUUGUCCGGAUUUAUUGGGUUUAAAGGGUGCGUAGGCGGUUUAUUAAGUCAGUGGUGAAAGACGGUCGCUCAACGAUUGCAGUGCCAUUGAUACUGGUAGACUUGAGUGGGAUUGAGGUAGCUGGAAUGGAUAGUGUA